AUGGCCCACGCUAAUGUAGCCCUCAACUUCAACGCGUUCCUAGAGAAAACCAAGCUGAAAGACGAUGGUAGCAACUACACGGACUGGGUCCGUAACCUGAGGAUUAUCCUCAUAGCUGCCAAGAAAGCAUAUGUCCUUGAAGCACCGCUAGGUGACGCACCUGUUUUCCCAGCAACUCAAGACGUUAUGAAUGCCUGGCAGUCGCGUAGUGAUGAUUACUCCCUGGUUCAGUGCGCCAUGCUUUACAGCUUAGAACCAGGGCUCCAAAAGCGUUUUGAGCAACACGGAGCAUAUGAGAUGUUCCAAGAGCUGAAAAUGGUUUUCCAAGCUCAUGCCCGAGUCGAGAGAUAUGAAGUCUCCGACAAGUUCUAUAGUUGUAAGAUGGAGGAGAAUAGUUCUAUCAGUGAGCACAUACUC
rnacentral:rRNA from 1 species